rnacentral:rRNA from 1 species
GACGUAGGGCGCGAGCGUUGUCCGGAUUUAUUGGGCGUAAAGAGCUCGUAGGCGGCUUGUCGCGUCGUCCGUGAAAACCUGCAGCUCAACUGCAGGCUUGCGGGCGAUACGGGCAGGCUAGAGUUCGGUAGGGGAGACUGGAAUUCCUGGUGUAGCGGUGAAAUGCGCAGAUAUCAGGAAGAACACCCGUGGCGAAGGCGGCUCUCUGGGACGGUACUGACGCUGAGACGCGAAAGCGUGGGGAGCGAACAGG